CCAUCACUAGUCUUCAUCGUCGCUUCUGUUCGCUGCGCUCUCACAUUAGGUAAAAUUUUCCCCCCUUUUCGUAUCCAUUCAGCCUCACUCACGCACUCUCAUCCUCCCUCAACUCACACACACGAAAGAGAAGAAAUCAGAAAAGGGGAGCACAGGAAGAAGAAGAGAAGAAGAGAGGAGAGGGGAAGGAAGGAAAGAAACGACGACGCCGCAUAUGGCUCCACCGCUGUCGAGCGCCAGUGAAAGAGAGCUCGAGGGAGAGAGAAAACGCGAUGGAGGAGAGAAGAAAGGGGUGCUUGGUCGCCGCUGAAACUCCACCGCCAUUGCUAGGGCUUCUUCCACCGCUAUCAUCUCCUCAAGAUUCAGAUUCCCUUCUUCUCUUGCAUCAAUUUCUCGUUCCACGCUAUCAUCUCCUCUCUCCCCGCUUUUCAGAUCCUCAUUAAAUUUCUCAUUAUCUCGUUCUUCUCGCCAUCAUAUCGUGGUCAAAGCCACCGAUGACUCUUCCAACCUAUCCGGUGAUGAUCCUUUUCGAUCUUUCCCGUGGUUCCAAUCCGACUCUGAGUAAGAAACAGAAGGCAGCAAAGAGAGGGAGAGAGAGAGAGCAGAACCAAGACGGAAAGAAGGAGAGACAGGACAAGUUCCUCCACUUCUUCUUCUACUUAUAUGAGUGCUUGCUUCAUCUGGGUCAUCACAGACACACACAAAUAGAAGAAAGAAAAGAAUGAAACGGAGUUGAGGGAGAAGGGAGGAGUGACCGAAACUUCAAUUUUGUGUGGCUAGGAUUUUUAAUUCAAGGAAGAAGCACAAACAGAAUUUUGAACUUCAAAAGAGAAAUUCAAUGGGUUCAUGAGGAUAGAAUUACAUUGUUCACCGCUGAUGGACUGGUGCAGAUUGGAGGCUCCAUCACCCCUCGCCAUGUUAGCUCUUCAGAUGUAGUACCGAAGACUAUUGGAAAAGAUAGGAUGCUGCUCAAGUAAUGGCUCAGUUAGUAUGGGAAGGACUUGGACUCGGAGGAGGGACAGAUGUCCGAAACUGGGGCAGCCUGGUUUAUCAGGCUAUUUCAAUAGCAAAUAAUGCAUGCUGGGCUAUUGGAGAACUUGCAGUUAAGAUUUGAGUUAUUUUCUGUGGUCACCACAUUUUAAAGCAACAGCUCAAAGAAAAAGGGACAACUUUAAAAGAUGAACUUGGAGACAUGAAGGCCAAACAGUAGCAACAAGAGGAAGAGAUUCAUGGAUUGUGGAAUAUGGUUUAGUUAUUAGAAAAUACUUAUGUAAGAUAUAAUAUUUUAGUUUUUCGUAGAGUAUUAGUAGUAAAUUCUAAGUGGUCUCUUGCUUAUUUUGAUAUGACUAUGCUUAAUUUGGU